UGGGGAAUCUUGCGCAAUGGGCGAAAGCCUGACGCAGCAACGCCGCGUGGGGGAUGAAGGCUCUCGGGUUGUAAACCCCUUUCAGCAGGGACGAAUCAAGACGGUACCUGCAGAAGAAGCCCCGGCUAACUACGUGCCAGCAGCCGCGGUAACACGUAGGGGGCAAGCGUUGUCCGGAUUUAUUGGGCGUAAAGAGCUCGUAGGUGGCUGAGUAAGUCGGAUGUUAAAUCCCCAGGCUCAACCUGGGACA
rnacentral:rRNA from 1 species